rnacentral:misc_RNA from 1 species
GAUGAAGAACGUAGCGAAAUGCGAUAAGUAGUGUGAAUUGCAGAAUUCAGUGAAUCAUCGAAUCUUUGAACGCACAUUGCGCCCCAUGGUAUUCCGUGGGGCAUGCCUGUUCGAGCGUCAUUUACCCCCUCAAGCUCCGCUUGGUGUUGGGCGUCUGUCCCGCUUCGCGCGCGGACUCGCCCCAAAGGUAUUGGCAGCGGUCGUGCCAGCUUCUCGCGCAGCACAUUGCGCUUCUCGAGGCACCGGUGGGCCCGCGUCCAUCAAGCUCACCCCCCCAGUUUGACCUCGCAUCAGGUAGGGAUGCCCGCUGAACUUAAGCAUAUCAAUAAGCGGAGGA